rnacentral:lncRNA from 1 species
GUCAGACUCAUUUAAUAGGAAACUACCCACAGAAGAAAAUAAGGAAAACGAAUUCUGUAGGUAGAGAAAUGUAAUGACUAAGAUUUUAAAUGUUAUGACUAAGAUACAUGUUUAGUUGAUAAAAAUUAAUAAAAAUAAGAAACUUUCCUUCCUAGGGCAGCAUAAGAUCAUUUCAGAAUGAAGAUGCUUUGGGAUCUGACUUCGGACUGUAAGAAUGACAAACUCUGAAUGGGUGCAAAGGUAGCAGAUGACCUUCAAAGGAUGGUGAGAUUAAAUUUACCUACACCUAGAGAAAUAAUUGGAGCACAUGUCUAUUUGGGCCAAGAGGAUAAAGGCCAGUAGAGGAAUCAGAUCAAAGAACUUCCUCAGGGAAGUGUGCAGAGAACUGGAGUGGACCUUCCCCUAGGAAGCUGCCCAAAACGAGAGUGCUGGAAAGCUGGCCGCAGUGAGGCACUUCAGAUCCCAAGGGUAUGCUGGGGAAGCUGCCACAGGUGGGAGCACUUGCUGCUGGACCCUAGGCACUGUUGAAACAACUGCACCAUCUGCAGGAGCCCAGCAAGAAAGAACUUGUUUGCAUCCCUGCUAGACAAAAACCUACAAGUUAACCUUUGCCCGUAUGGAGUUGUAAAACAGACCAGUUGAUAGAAAGAGAAGCCUGCUUCCCGAAGCCCUCAGCAGAAGCCGAGCAGAUGUUGGCACCAUGCUUCUUGUACAGCCUGCAGAACUUGAAGAAACACUCCAUAUUAGUUUUCUGGAGCCAUCGUUAUGAAGCAACACAGACUGGGUGGCAUAAACAAUGGAGAUUUAUUUUUUCACAAUUCCGGAGGCUAGAAGUUUGAGAUCAAGGUGUUGGAAAGUGUCUCAGGAUGAUACAUACCGGUUUUUAACUUUGGUGUCAUCAAAUGCAAUUGCAAUGUGACUGUUUCUUGAAAGCCCGAACUGCUUGCUCCCUAUCAAAAGAGCUGGUUCUGAUUCUGCAGCACAAGGACCCUGUAAAAUACCCAGGAGAGAAAAACAGGAGAUUAUGGACUGUUCUUUAAAAAGUGCAAGGAGCACAUUGCUCAACCAAUUCCAUCGUGGACACUAAGGAAGAGAAUGAGAUAUUCAAGAGUUUUCAAGAUCUGCACUCAAGACAACAUUGCCCACCCAUUACUGGUAUGGAAUAUAACCACAACACAUGAGCUGUAAAGAGUGUAGUGACUGUGACCAUCUUUGUUGUAUUGGUGAUAAGAAUGUAAAUUGGCAUAGCCUGUGGAAGAAACAAUUCAGAUUCGGCUCUGGUCUGAUCACAAUUUUCCUCAUUGUUCGUGCCCCUGUGGAGAGAUGCACUUCCAGACGGCCCCUGUUGAGGAGUAUUGCAUAAUAGGCCUGCAACAGCAAGU